rnacentral:tRNA from 1 species
GCCUCAGUGGCGGAACCGGUAGACGCGACAGACUCAAAAUCUGUUAUCCGCGAGGGUGUGGGGGUUCGAGUCCCUCCUGAGGCACCA